GAGCACGUAGGUGGGUUUGUAAGUCAGAUGUGAAAGCCUUCUGUUCAACGGAAGAAUUGCAUCUGAAACUGCGAGUCUUGAGUGUAGGAGGGGAGAAUGGAACUUCUGGUGGAGCGGUGAAAUGCGAAGAUAUCAGAAGGAACGCCGGCGGCGAAAGCGAUUCUCUGGCCUAUUACUGACACUCAGUGUGCGAAAGCUAGGGGAGCAAACGGGAUUAGAUACCCCGGUAGUCCUAGCCGUAAACGAUGGGCACUAAGUAGAGGGAAUUACCGAUGUUCUCUCUGCCGUAGCUAACGCAUUAAGUGCCCCGCCUGGGGAGUACGGCCGCAAGGCUAAAACUCAAAAGAAUUGACGGGGGCUCGCACAAGCGGUGGAGCAUGUGGCUUAAUUCGAUGCAACGCGAAAAACCUUACCGGGGCUUGACAUGGUAGAAGUAGGAACCCGAAAGGGUAACGAACGGUAUCCAGUCCGUAGCUAUCACAGGUGUUGCAUGGCUGUCGUCAGCUCGUGUCGUGAGACGUUGGGUUAAGUCCCCUAACGAGCGAAACCCUUGUUUUUAGUUACCAGCGGGUUAUGCCGGGUACUCUAGAAAGACUGCCGUCGUCAAGACGGAGGAAGGUGGGGAUGACGUCAAGUCAUCAUGGCCCUUAUGCCCCGGGCUGCACACGUGCUACAAUGGCCGGUACAAACGGAUGCGAAGCCGAGAGGUGAAGCGAAUCC
rnacentral:rRNA from 1 species